rnacentral:lncRNA from 1 species
CUGCGUCAGGCAUUCAGGCAGCGAGAGCAGAGCAGCGUAGAGCAGCACAGCUGAGCUCGUGAGGCAGGAGACUCAGCCCGAGGAAAUCGCAGAUAAGUUUUUAAUUAAAAAGAUUGAGCAGUAAAAAGAAUUAGAACUCUAAACUUAAGCUAAUAGAGUAGCUUAUCGAAAUAUUACUUAGUCUUAAUAAUCUAAGAAGAUCUUAAGAGAUAACAUGAAGGCUUAUUUAAACAGUUUGAAAAAGGAAAUGAGGAGAAAAGUAUUUGUACUGUAUAAUGGAGGCUGACCAGAGCAGUUUAGGAGAUUGUAAAGGGAGGUUUUGUGAAGUUCUAAAAGGUUCUAGUUUGAAGGUCGGCCUUGUAGAUUAAAACGAAGGUUACCUAAAUAGAAUCUAAGUGGCAUUUAAAACAGUAAAGUUGUAGAGAAUAGUUUGAAAAUGAGGUGUAGUUUUAAAAGAUUGAGAAAAGUAGGUUAAGUUGACGGCCGUUAUAAAAAUCCUUCGACUGGCGCAUGUACGUUUGAAGGCAUGAGUUGGAAACAGGGAAGAUGGAAGUGUUAGGCUAGCCGGGCGAUGGUGGCGCACGCCUUUAAUCCUAGCACUUGGGAGGCAGAGGCAGGCGGAUUUCUGAGUUCGAGGCCAGCCUGGUCUACAGAGUGAGUUCCAGGACAGCCAGGGCUACACAGAGAAACCCUGUCUUGAAAAAACAAAAAGACAUACAGGAAGGUGAAGAAAAAGCUGUUAGAGAAGAUAGGAAAAUAGAAGACAAAGCAUCUUUAGAAGACAGAAAAGGUACUUAAAGGCACAGGUAGUAGGAAGCCGAAGAAUAGAAGAUAGAAAGAAGCAA